rnacentral:tRNA from 1 species
GGAAGGUGAAUGUGCAAGGUGCACAGGCUGUCUUGAAAACAGCUCAGGCGAAAGCUGGGGGUUCGACUCCUCCGCCUUCCG